GUUUUAUAACUCUAUGAGGGCCCAUACACAGGAAUAAAAAAAAUUAAAUGCUACAUGCAGCACAAAAAGCUCUAAAAAUAUUAAAAAGUCCUGGACUUAACAGUCAAACAAUGACACAUGCAUGCACAACCACUGAGCCUUUUGUUUUAGAACAGAGGAAGAACAUAAAAAAUACAAAACAGGACUCGAAGAUAAAGAAAAACUAUGAUAAAAAAAAAAAGAAAAGGAGUGUAGCAAGGAAGAUGCUGCUGUUAAAUAUAAUAAUUUAGAGGAAGGAAAGGGGAGAGAAUCUUUAAGACCUCAAAUAGAGUGUUCUAUGGAAGCUGAUAAAUACAUUCAGGGAUCCCAUGUUUUGUUGAACGCAGGUGCAUUUUUAUCUUAAACACACACUUGGCUAUGCAGCAUUUUGGUAUAUUAUUUAUAUCCCAUGGUCUUUUUUUUAUUUUUGCAUAGUUUUCCUGUAAUGUUAAAAAUGACAGCAAACCAGGCAGGGGAAGCAAACUUGAAAUUGUCACUUACAGGUACAUCCACCUAAAAAGUGCAGUGUAAAUAAGCACAUUCAUAAUAAAGUUUUUACCCUUUUCGUUUAAUUGUAAUUACAAAAGGAUUCCUCAAAAGUCCUCACCAAAAUAACAAUAUGCAAUGUAUCUGAAAAAAACAACACAAAAGGAACCAAACAGCUUAAUAAAUCUAAAUACACGCAAGAUGUGUUGAAUUCAAAGUUGGACUCACAAAAUUAAAUUAAGAUGAAGGCUCAUCAUAUAUAAUAGUUAUAUCCUCCCAUCUGGAUAUUCUUCUUGGUAAAUAUGUAUGACAUGGGUUCUCAACCCAGUCCUCAAGUACCUCCAACCAGUCCAGGAUUUAGGGAUUACCCUGCUGUGUUUAAAGUGUUUUUUCUAAAAACGCCCUAGACACAACUGAGUACUCCCUAAAUCGUGGACUGUUGGGGGGGAGGAAAAGUACUUGAGGAGUGGGUUGGGAACCACUGAUAUAUGAUAUAAGAAAGCCCAUCAACAUAUCUCUCCAGGAUCAGAGCAGGGGAAGGAAACUGUGCUCCUGGCAAUCAAUAGCACUGGGAUGUCUUGUUUUAUGAGAAAAUGAUUAGAAAUCGGAAUUUAUAUAUGAAAUCAGUACAGGGAAUCUAACCUAUGCCUCCUUUAUUAUUCCCAUAUGGUACUAAGCUUAAAAGGACACUAUAGUCACCAGAUCAGCUACGGCUUCUUGUAUUUGUUCUGGUGAGUAGAAUCAUUCCCUUAAGGCCUUUUGCAGUAAACACGGUUUUAUUCCGAGAAAAGGCAGUGUUUACUUUAUAGCCUAGAGAUACCUCCACUGGCCACUCCUCAGAUCGCUACUAGAGGUGCUUCCUGGGGUAGUGCUGUGCAGGAAUAAAAGUAAGAUGUUACUAUAUCUAGGAGGUCAAGGAGGACGAUGGUGUUUUUAUACAUGUUUGUGUUCCUGACCCUAUAGUGUUCCUUUAAGACUUGUCCACUAAAGUCUUUGAUGUUCAUAUGGAGAAUGUUAUCGUUGUGUGCUUUUUUAAAUGCCAAAUGUAUAUGUUAAAUCUUAAAAAGUAUAUUUUACUCACUUUUGACAUGUAUUCUGGUUUUAACCUAAACAUUAGAAACCAAGGUUGAAAAUACACAACACCUGUUCUUUAAUAUACAGUUGCAAGAGAAAGUAUGUGAACCCUUUGGAAUGAUAUGGAUUUCUGCACAAAUUGGUCAUAAAAUGUGAUCUGAUCAUCAUCUAAAUCACAACCAGUCUGCUUAAACUAAUAACACACAAAGAAUGAAAUGUUGCCAUGUUUUUAUUGAACACACCAUGUAUGUGAAGUAUGUGAACCCUUAGACUUAUGACAUCUCCAAAAGCUAAUUGGAGUGAGAUGUCAGCCAACUGGAGUCCAAUCAAUGAGAUGAGAUUGGGGGUGUUGGUUACAGCUGCCCUGCCCUAUAAAAAAAACACACCAGUUCUGGGUUUGCUUUUCACAAGAAGCAUUGCCUAAUGUGAAUGAUGCCUCGCACAAAAGAGCUCUCAGAAGACCUACGAUUAAGAAUUGUUGACUUGCAUAAAGCUGGAAAGGGUUAUAAAAGUAUCUCCAAAAGCCUUGCUGUUCAUCAGUCCACGGUAAGACAAAUUGUCUAUAAAUGGAGAAAGUUCAGCACUGCUGCUACUCUCCCUAGGAGUGGCUGUCCUGUAAAGAUGACUGCAAGAGCACAACGCAGACUGCUCAAUGAGGUGAAGAAGAAUCCUAGAGUGUCAGCUAAAGACUUACAAAAGUCACUGGCAAAUGCUAACAUCCCUG